rnacentral:rRNA from 1 species
UACAGGGGGUGCAAACGUUGCUCGGAAUUAUUGGGCGUAAAGCGCGUGUAGGCGGCCAGGUAGGUCCGUUGUGAAAACUCGAGGCUCAACCUCGAGACGUCGGCGGAAACCAUCUGGCUAGAGUCCGGAAGAGGAGAGUGGAAUUCCUGGUGUAGCGGUGAAAUGCGCAGAUAUCAGGAAGAACACCCGUGGCGAAGGCGGCUCUCUGGGACGGUACUGACGCUGAGACGCGAAAGCGUGGGGAGCGAACAGG